rnacentral:rRNA from 1 species
CCUACGGGUGGCAGCAGUGGGGAAUAUUGCACAAUGGACGAAAGUCUGAUCCAGCAACGCCGCGUGAGUGAGGAAGUAUUUCGGUAUGGAAAGCUCUAUCAGCAGGGAAAAGAAAAGAAGGUAGCUGAAAAGAAGCCCCGGCUAACUACGUGCCAGCAGCCGCGGUAAUACGUAGGGGGCAAGGUUUAUACGGAUUUACUGGGUGUAAAGGGAGCGUAGACGGAAAGGCAAGUCAGAAGUGAAAACCUAAGGCUCAACCAUGGGAUUGCUUUUGAAACUGUCAAACUAGAGUACGGGAGAGGUAAGAGGAAUUCCUAGUGUAGCGGUGAAAUGCGUAGAUAUCAGGAGGAACACCAGUGGCGAAGGCGUCUUACUGGACCGCAACUGACGUUGAGGCUCGAAAGUGUGGGUAGCAAACAGGAUUAGAUACCCUAGUAGUC